GAUCAUCAGGGCAAGUAAAUUUUUGUCCGGACAAGUAAAAUUUUUAGUUUUACUUGCCCAGGGACAAGUGCUCACAACAAAUAUUUCCACACCCCUGACAUGUCAUGUACAGUAUGGUCAAAAUUAUACAAUACUGCAAGGAACACUUAAAAAACAGGACAGUUACUCUAUAUUUAUAUCUCCAAAAUUGUAAGGAUUCUCCCAAUAUAUCUAUAGGCUAGUAAAUGGUAACGGAC
rnacentral:lncRNA from 1 species